GUCCAGAUGUCGGCGGGGACGAGGAUGAUGACGGAGAGGGAGGAGAACCAAGUGUAGCCAACGAUGGCCUGGACGUAGCGCGGCACGCUCGGGCCGACGAAGUAGCGCAGCGUGACGACGACCAUGCCCAGCGUCAGGGGCAGCGAUAUCAGGUAGAAGACCCACAUCUCGCCACCCUCCACCUCGGCCUAGCCGCGGCGCCGCG
rnacentral:lncRNA from 1 species